rnacentral:rRNA from 1 species
AUUGAACGCUGGCGGCAGGCCUAACACAUGCAAGUCGAGCGAGCGGCGGACGGGUGAGUAAUGUAUGGGGACUGCCCGAUAGAGGGGGAUAACUACUGGAAACGGUGGCUAAUACCGCAUACUAUCGGAUAACCCAUAUGGGAUUAGCUAGUAGGGGGGGUAAAGGCUCACCUGGGCGACGAUCUCUAGCUGGUCUGAGAGGAUGAACAGAAACACGGUGACUGAGACAUGGCCCAGACUCCUACGGAGGAAGCAGUGGGGAAUAUUGCAAAAGGGGCGCAAGCCUGAGGCAGCCAGGCCGCGGGUAUGAAGAAGGCCUUAGGGUUGUAAAGUACUUUCAGCGGGGAGGCGUUACCCGCAGAAGAAGCACCGGCUAACUCCGUGCCAGCCGCCGCGGUAAUAC